GAUGAACGCUGGCGGCGUGCCUAAUACAUGCAAGUCGAGCGAACGGACGAGAAGCUUGCUUCUCUGAUGUUAGCGGCGGACGGGUGAGUAACACGUGGAUAACCUACCUAUAAGACUGGGAUAACUUCGGAAAACCGGAGCUAAUACCGGAUGAUAUUUUGAACCGCAUGGUUCAAAAGUGAAAGACGGUCUUGCUGUCACUUAUAGAUGGAUCCGCGCUGCAUUAGCUAGUUGGUAAGGUAACGGCUUACCAAGGCAACGAUGCAUAGCCGACCUGAGAGGGUGAUCGGCCACACUGGAACUGAGACACGGUCCAGACUCCUACGGGAGGCAGCAGUAGGGAAUCUUCCGCAAUGGGCGAAAGCCUGACGGAGCAACGCCGCGUGAGUGAUGAAGGUCUUCGGAUCGUAAAACUCUGUUAUUAGGGAAGAACAUAUGUGUAAGUAACUGUGCACAUCUUGACGGUACCUAAUCAGAAAGCCACGGCUAACUACGUG
rnacentral:rRNA from 1 species